AUUGAACGCUGGCGGCAUGCUUUACACAUGCAAGUCGAACGGCAGCGCGGGCUUCGGCCUGGCGGCGAGUGGCGAACGGGUGAGUAAUGCAUCGGAACGUGCCCAGUAGUGGGGGAUAGCCCGGCGAAAGCCGGAUUAAUACCGCAUACGACCUGAGGGUGAAAGCGGGGGACCGAAAGGCCUCGCGCUAUUGGAGCGGCCGAUGUCGGAUUAGCUAGUUGGUGGGGUAAAGGCUUACCAAGGCGACGAUCCGUAGCUGGUCUGAGAGGACGACCAGCCACACUGGGACUGAGACACGGCCCAGACUCCUACGGGAGGCAGCAGUGGGGAAUUUUGGACAAUGGGGGCAAGCCUGAUCCAGCCAUGCCGCGUGCGGGAAGAAGGCCUUCGGGUUGUAAACCGCUUUUGUUCGGGAAGAAAUCCUCUGAGCUAAUACCCCGGGGGGAUGACGGUACCGGAAGAAUAAGCACCGGCUAACUACGUG
rnacentral:rRNA from 1 species